UACGUAGGGGGCUAGCGUUAUCCGGAAUUACUGGGCGUAAAGGGUGCGUAGGUGGUUUCUUAAGUCAGAGGUGAAAGGCUACGGCUCAACCGUAGUAAGCCUUUGAAACUGGGAAACUUGAGUGCAGGAGAGGAGAGUGGAAUUCCUAGUGUAGCGGUGAAAUGCGUAGAUAUUAGGAGGAACACCAGUUGCGAAGGCGGCUCUCUGGACUGUAACUGACACUGAGGCACGAAAGCGUGGGGAGCAAACAGGAUUAGAUACCCGGGUAGUCCCUGAGCGGG
rnacentral:rRNA from 1 species